CCUAGAAAAAAUCUAGGGUGUAACCUGCCCAAUGACUCCUUAAAAUAACUACAAACAGUUAAAAAGAGAUUAAAAGGACGCAGUAACCUGACUGUGGUAAUGUAGCAUAAUCACUCGCCACUUAAUUAGUGGAUAGUAUGAAUGGUUGAACGAAUCCCCCACUGUCUAAGAAAGAGAAACCAUAAAAUUAAAAUAAUAGUUAAGAUGCUAUUUAAAAUUGUAAGACGAAAAGACCCUGUAGAGCUUAACUAUACCCCCCCCUCAAAUUAAGGGUUUUUACCUAAAACAGGGGGGGGGUUAGUUUAGUUGGGGCGACUACCUUAUAAAAACAACUAAGGUAAGCUAUGUUAAUAAAAAACUUAUUGUAAAACUUAUAAGUUUAACAAUUACUACAGUAGGCUAUAAUGACCCGUUAAAUUAUAGUAAUAAAUUUAACGAACAAUAAAUAAAAGCUACCUCAGGGAUAACAGAAUAAUUUCGUCUUAGAGAUCUCAUCAAAGACAAAGUUUAUCACCUCUAUGUUGAAUUAAGAUAUCCCAGUAGUGCAAGAGCUACUAAAGGUGGGUCUGUUCGACCCUUAAAAU
rnacentral:rRNA from 1 species